ensembl:lncRNA
GGAAGAUGGGCGAGCCGGGCAGUAGAGACGCUUUCUGAAGGGGGUAGAACGGUUCGAGGUUUCGCGGACUGUUUACCUCCAGGGGUCGUUCGUGAGUCAGAGAAACCGGGCCUUUGGAGGGAGAGGGCCUGGCGACAGUCCUUCUGCGCUUGGCUGUGCAGCGUUCUGGCUGCUUCUGCCCGGCGCCACGAGGCCCGCCCCGGCGCUACCCUCGCCCUGCCUGCCCCGGCUCUGUCGGCCUGCGGGCGCUGCAGCCUCUCUCCCGCCGCCGGCGUGUCUGGAAAUGGAGGCCCAUAGCUAGAAGGUCCCGGGUACCCUUUGUUCCCAACCCUGCCUUGCCCGUCUUCCUCUGGGAAUUAGUGAGACCUUGGCCCUAAGGGCGUAACCCCCCGUGGCUCCACGUGGGGGUCCCAUAGCUCUUCUGCUACUUCCGGCAGUGGCUGAGGGAGUCGAAGCUGUGGGUAGUGAGGACAGGUGUGGACAGUAGCAGGGAGGGGAAGGUCUGUGGUUCCUGACGUGCUGCCUCUGUUCCCAAGAAGAUAACUUUCCUAUGGCCCUUGCCCUCUGGCUAGUUAUGGCCCGUCCACCACGUGUCCUCAAAUGCCUGGACUCUGGAGAAAGGCAGCCUCCUUCCUCAGACCCCACGACGCUUGUCGGUCCCACUACCUGUUUUCACCUUUCCCCUCGGAGGCCACCUAGAGCACCUGGCUAGAAAUGGGAGCAACUGGUGGGAUUGGGAUUGAGAUAGGGAGUCUGCAGCAUUUGGAGGGAAGGAGUGGACUAAGAUGGAACUGCAGAACAUUUGAGGCACUGAAAGUUACUGGGGCAAAAUGGGAGGGUCAGGGAGCAGGGGUGAGGGAGCGAGGGAAUGAGACCCAUCAUCUCUGUAUGUCUCAAAAGGAAGAAACUUACGUGUCUCUGAGCAGGCAGAUGAGGAACGCAUUUUUCAGAGCUCUGGUUCUCUGUGAGACACACAACCCAUAGUAAUUUAGUUUUGUUCCAAACGUGUUAAGUGAAGUGCACACCUCCCUAUUUGUUCCUAAGGAGCUACAGCUACUGGUAACUUCUACAAGACAGGUGCGUGAACUACAGACUUCCCAGCGUUGCCUGGCGCUCUCCCCUCCCUCCCCGCACCUACUACUAGUAAUUCGAUGUUCCCACAUUCCUCUGUGCUAGCUGUGGAGGUUCCUGAGACCCUUUUAGGGGAUCUGCAAGGGCAGAACUGUUUCACAAUAAUACUAAGAUUUGUUUACAUUUUUCAGUGUAUUGACAUUUAAACUUAAAGUGACAUGGAAAACUGCUAGCACCUUGGCGUGAAUCAAGGCAGUGGCAUCAAACUAUAUUUGCAGUUGUAUUUUUCACCAAAGCUUUUUAGGGGGGAGGGGGAGCCAGUUUCACUUAAGAAUGUUCUUCAUGAAGCUGUAAAAAGUAUUCAUUUUACUCCAUUUUGAACCUUGAGUAGAGGUCCUGUUGCUACCCUGUGUGACAGAAUGGGAAGUACGCAUGAAGCAGGCUUGCUGCAUACCAAGGUACUGUGUUUGUCUUGAGGAAAGUGUUGGGAAAGGCAGUCACGUGUGUGCAGUCUUUGAACCGCUGUACAGUCACAUAAGAGCAUGCCUUGGGUCUGGAACGUUUCCUUACGAAGAGACAAAGAGCUUUCCUGGCCUGUGCUGGGCAUAUCUUUGUUCGAGAAUCUCUGUCCCUGUUCUGGACUUAAUGUGUACCUCUUUGUUCUGCUAAAGCCUUUGUGUCAUAUGGCACCUACCCACCCCUACUGCUGCGCGGGCUCCUGUGGGGAGACACUAGAGCCCUUCAUCUGCGGCACAGGCGGAGUGCGUGCAGACCCUGCGUGCUGGCCGCGGGGGACACUCACUGCUGAUGCUGGUCUCACCCUGUCUCUUCUCUGUUGGCAGUCGAGACAUCUGUUGAGGCUGCGGCCAUCUGAAGGCUUGACUGGACCUGGAGAAUCUGCUUCCAAGAGGUGCACUCACGUGGCUGUUGGCAGGAGGUGUCACUGGACGGACCUCUCCACGGGGCUUUGACGAUGCGCACAGCUUGGCAGCCAGCUUCUCCCAGAGCAAGUGAUCAGAGAGAGGGAGCAAGAUAGAAGCCUCAGUGUCUUUUAUGAUCUACCCUCAGAAGUCAUGCUCUGUAAUUUCCACCACGUUCUAUUCAUUAGAGUGAGUCACAUGUACAGGCCACACUCAAAGAGAGGGAAAUUAAGCUCCACCUCUUAAAGGGAAGAGUACCGAAGAAUACGUGGACAUGUUUCAAUAACACUACACUUAGUGAACCAAUAUUUUCCAAAUGACUGUGUGAUGUUACAAUGCCAUGAUGCACAGAUAAAAAAUCUAUUCUAAUUGCAAGAUAGCCCCAUGGAUUUUUAAUGUAACAGAGUAGGAAACAUUCAUUGAUGUAGUUUUAGAUCCCACAUUGCUUCUGACCUUUAAGAAGCUAUCAUUUGUUGAGUUCUGGUGUAGGAUCAGAGAAGAGUAUCCACAAUUAUCUGAAAAGGCUAUCAAAAUACUCCCCUUAUUUCCAACUACGUAUCCCUGUGAGGCCAAAUUUUUGUCAUAUACUGACAACAGCAUUAGAAUAGACCGGAAUGCAGAGGCAGAUAGGAGAAUCCAGCUCUCUUCUGUUAAGCCAGACAGAGAUUUGCAAAAAUGUACAACAGAGUGGCUCUUCUCACUAAUUAUUUUUGUUUUAGAAAAUGUGUUUUUCUUAAAAAGUGUGUGUGUGUGUGUGUACUAACAUGUAUUGGAUUUAUUAUUGUAAUUUGUAAAUGAAUUAAAUAUUUUUAAAUUUUCUCAGUUUCUAAUAUGGUAUUAUCACUAGAUGUAACCCAUAUAAACGAAGGCUCUUUGGGUCCUCAGUAAUUUUUAAGAAUGUAAAGGAGUCCUGAGACCACAAAGUUCUGAGAUCACUUAUCUGAGCAAUCGGAUGGCUCUGUUACCCUCAAAUAAUAGUUUAGGGAUGGGCAUGUGGUGCGACUUUGGCCAAUGACAUGUGAGGUGAAGGUGUUGUGUUCAGUUUUCAGUUUAGGGUAUUAAAUAGAAGCGUACAUGGGGUCUUCUAAAAGAUUGGUCAGGUUCUAUUUCUCAAGCUAGGUGAUUUAUAUGUGAUAUUUACCGGCUUCUUUAUCUCUUACAUAUUAAAUUAUUUGGGGUGUGAAAUAUUUUAUAACAAAAAACACAGAACACGUGGCAGAGAAGAUUCCCCUUCCUCUAUGGAAGCAUCAUGUCUGUUUUGCAGCGUAUUCAGCUUGUACAUUGGGCCUGAGUCUGCAUUGUUUGGCUCUAAAGGAUUUUCUGUGCAUUUCGUGGCUGAGUCUGUGUCUGCAACAUAUUUGUGAUAUUUGACUUGUAACCUGAGAGUCCCCAGACCUCCAGCCACGUAUGCAAUCUCACUGCAUUCACAAGGCUACCAGUUCAAGUCAUAUAAAGUCCCUCAUAAAGAAACCUUCUCUGCUUCUGGCUCAGUCCCUCUCCCUUGUGUCCCCUAGGAUCAGGCAGGAUACCAACGUCUGUCAUACAUCACAUCAUCUGCCAGGUUCUCUCACCUACACCGCCCUAAGAGUAAAUAUAUCUACUGGGACAGCCAGCCCACCAGUUCUGCAAACUGCCACACUCUGAAUCCAUGUUAGAUACCUUUUAGGAACUUGUGAGAGCCCCUCUAAAUGGAUCCGCACAGUGGGGCCAAAGGCAGGCUCACUGCCCUGUUGUUGAGUGAGUGGACCCUCUUCCUGUGGUCACCUCAUGUGGCUCCAGGGUCCCCCACAUCACUGAAGGGCCUGGGACUGUGGAACCAAGGUUUCUAGGUUUCUUCUACUACUCUUUUUAAUGUAACUUUCUCAGAAAUUCAUAAAUGAAUUAGUAAAAUUGGAGAAUUAAUCCAAUUAACGAGUUUGAGUGGAUGUCUGAACAAAAUCUGGGCUUUACCGUCAUGGGUGAGGGGAAUGACUAUUGAGAAGGCACAAAAAUGUCUGCUACAGUUGUCUGUAUAUAUGUAUAUUUUAAAUCUUUCCACAAUAAAAUAGAUUGCUUGUGUGAUUAGAAAACAAAAGAAAGAAAGGUAAUGAAUGUGAAGGGAAAGUAGACAUAUAAAAUUAAGAAAUGCAGUCACACUUUGAGGUAUGUGAGCAGAUAUGCUGGGAAAGGAAGCAGACGAUUUGCUGACACCUAAUUCACUGAUCAAUGCACCAUAUUCACCUGCUUCUUUUACCUGCUUAUAAAAUUCAUAGCAAUUCAUACUGGAUGAAAUUCUUUUAACAGCUUUUGAACGUUUCUUCAAAUCUUAGUUGGCCAGUAUCCCAUUAUAUCUGCAUAACAGCAU